rnacentral:rRNA from 1 species
GAGUAAAUUUUCCAAUGUCCGCAAGGAUGAGAAAGGAAUCCGAAGUGCUGAUAUUUUUAUAUUAGCUUUUAUCCACUGUAAAAAGGUGGAAGAAUAAGGACUGGGCAAGACUGGUGCCAGCCGCCGCGGUAAUCCCAGCAGUCCGAGUCGUGGCCACAUUUAUUAGGUCUAAAACAUUCGUAGCUUGCUUUACAAGUUCCUUGUGAAAUGCUAUCGCUUAACGGUAGCGCGUGCAAAGAAUACUGUAUCGCUAGAGACUGGUAGACGUAAGGAGUACGAUUGAGGUAGCGGUAAAAUGUUUUAAUCUCAACCGGACUAACAAUGGCGAAGGCACCUUACGAGGACAGAUCUGACAGUGAGGAAUGAAGGCUAGGGGCGCAAAAUGGAUUAGAUACCCAUGUAGUCCUGGCAGUAAACCCUGAUUACUAAACAUUGUGUUCUCUUCGAGAGAAUGCAGUGCUGAAGCGAAAGCGGAAGUAAUCUACCUGGGGAGUAUAGCCGCAAGGCCGAAACU